rnacentral:rRNA from 1 species
GACAGAGGUCCCGAGCGUUAGGCGGAAUCACUGGGCUUAAAGCGUGUGUAGGCGGCGGCCUAAAUACCUUGUGAAAUCCCACGGCUCACCCGUGGAACUGCUCGGUAUACUGGGUCGCUUGAGCCACUUAGGGGCUACCGGAACAAAUGGUGGAGCGGUGAAAUGCGUAGAUAUCAUUUGGAACGCCAAUGGUGAAAACAGGUAGCUGGGAGUGUGCUGACGCUGAGACACGAAAGCCAGGGGAGCAAACGGG